rnacentral:rRNA from 1 species
GCUCAGAUUGAACGCUGGCGGCAGGCCUAACACAUGCAAGUCGAACGGUAGCACAGAGAGCUUGCUCUCGGGUGACGAGUGGCGGACGGGUGAGUAAUGUCUGGGAAACUGCCUGAUGGAGGGGGAUAACUACUGGAAACGGUAGCUAAUACCGCAUAACGUCGCAAGACCAAAGAGGGGGACCUUCGGGCCUCUUGCCAUCAGAUGUGCCCAGAUGGGAUUAGCUAGUAGGUGGGGUAACGGCUCACCUAGGCGACGAUCCCUAGCUGGUCUGAGAGGAUGACCAGCCACACUGGAACUGAGACACGGUCCAGACUCCUACGGGAGGCAGCAGUGGGGAAUAUUGCACAAUGGGCGCAAGCCUGAUGCAGCCAUGCCGCGUGUAUGAAGAAGGCCUUCGGGUUGUAAAGUACUUUCAGCGGGGAGGAAGGUGUUGUGGUUAAUAACCACAGCAAUUGACGUUACCCGCAGAAGAAGCACCGGCUAACUCCGUGCCAGCAGCCGCGGUAAUANGGAGGGUGCAAGCGUUAAUCGGAAUUACUGGGCGUAAAGCGCACGCAGGCGGUCUGUCAAGUCGGAUGUGAAAUCCCCGGGCUCAACCUGGGAACUGCAUUCGAAACUGGCAGGCUAGAGUCUUGUAGAGGGGGGUAGAAUUCCAGGUGUAGCGGUGAAAUGCGUAGAGAUCUGGAGGAAUACCGGUGGCGAAGGCGGCCCCCUGGACAAAGACUGACGCUCAGGUGCGAAAGCGUGGGGAGCAACANGAU